rnacentral:tRNA from 1 species
GGAGGGAUUCCCGAGUGGCUAAAGGGGGCAGACUGUAAAUCUGUUGGCUCAGCCUUCGAAGGUUCGAAUCCUUCUCCCUCCACCA